rnacentral:ribozyme from 13 species
ACAAAAAGAGAAGAAAUAAAUGAAGAAACCAGUGAAAUUCUUUCCACUUUUUUGUAUUGUUCAGUUUUUUUCCAGAUAAUUUUGCGAAUUU